CAUUGGUUUAGAUUUUGCUCACUGCUGUUGGAUGAUCGAAUGCAAUAAUAAAUGUUCCCAGCUUUCAGGCCAAGCUCCGUAAAAACUACAUGCAACUGAAUAAAGCUUUAAGGGGUCUUUGUUUUGCGGGAAGACUGAGUGAAGCUGUGGGUCUAUUAUGGCGUACGAGAUUGAAAGCAGAUGCUGGAACGUAUGCUCUUCUCUUGCAAGAAUGCAUAUUCAGGAAAGAAUAUAAAAAUGGGAGAAGAAUCCAUGCACAAAUGGUUGUUGUUGGAUAUGUACCCAAUGAAUAUCUGAAGAUAAAGUUGUUAAUAUUGUAUGCAAAAUUAGGAGAUUUAGAAACUGCCCAUGCUUUGUUUGAUAUGUUACUAGAGAAAAAUGUGAUUUCUUGGAAUGCAAUGAUUGCUGGGUUUGUGCAAAAGGGUUGUGGAGAAUUUGGACUUGAUCUCUAUUAUAAGAUGAGAAAGAAUGGUUUAACACCAGACCAGUACACCUUUGCCUCUGUUUUUAGAGCCUGUGCCUCCUUGGCCACACUAAGGCAUGGGAAGCGAGCUCAUGGGAUCUUGAUAAAGAGCCCUAUCAUGGAAAAUGUUGUGGUCAGCAGUGCCCUCAUGGAUAUGUAUUUCAAAUGCAGCAGUCUUACUGAUGGUCACCAGGUAUUUGAUGAACUAGCAUAUAGAAAUGUUGUUACUUGGACGAGUUUGAUAUCUGGAUAUGGCCAGCAUGGAAGGGUUAUUGAGGUUUUGGAAUCAUUUGAUAAAAUGAAAAAUGAAGGUUUUAGACCAAACUAUGUUACCUUUCUUGCUGUCCUUUCUGCAUGUAGCCAUGGAGGCUUACUGGAUAAAGGUUGGCACUAUUUCUUAUCAAUGACAAGAGACUAUGGAAUGCAACCGAGAGGGCAGCAUUAUGCUGCCAUGGUUGAUCUUAUAGGCCGUUCUGGAAAGUUGCGUGAAGCUUACGAGUUUAUUCUUAACUCACCUUGUAAGGAGCACCCAGCCAUAUGGGGUGCUUUGCUAGGGGCCUGUAGGAUUCAUGGAGAUAUAGAUCUGAUAAAGCUUGCAGCAGAUAAGUACUUUGAAUUGGACCCUGAAAAUGCAGGUAAAUAUGUAGUUUUGUCUAAUGCUUAUGCCACUUUUGGUUUUUGGGACGAUGUGGCCUCACUUAGGAGGAUGAUGAGGAAUUCUGGGGUCAUAAAGGAGCCUGCCUAUAGCAGGAUUGAUAUUCAAGGGGAGGUUCACUUCUUUUUAAGGGGUGAUAUAUCUCAUAAACAUUCUGCGGAGAUCUACGAGUUGAUCAAAUUAAUGACUUCCAUCUUAAAGGAUGCAGGCUAUGUUCCUGAUGUAAAUGGCUCCUAAAAUCCUAUGUACCACUCUUUAUUGUGGUGUUGUGUCAAGAAGCAGGGCUGGUUGAGGGUUCUAAAAGUUCUUCAUGAUUUAAUCUUAGACUCUUAGCCUGUGUUGAGAAAUGUACUGAAUUUGGGGACCCUGUUAAUAGAACUGUGGCUGUGAUAAAAUCAAACAAAGAUACAAGAUAUGGAUUGGAUUCAAUUGUGACACAUGACGGCAUGAAACUGCCAUGUUGGGCAUUGGCAAAUUUAUCAUCAUUCCGACAAAAAAUUGGUCCUGAC